GUGCUCACUUCAGCAGCACACACACUAAAACUGGACCGACACAGAGAAGAAUAAGCAUGGGUCCUACACAAGGACAACACGGAAAUUUGUGAAGCAUUAUGUAUUUUU